rnacentral:rRNA from 1 species
AGCACGUUAUGGUGGGCACUCUAAGGAGACUGCCGGUGACAACCGGAGGAAGGUGGGGAUGACGUCAAGUCAUCAUGGCCCUUACGGCCUGGGCUACACACGUGCUACAAUGGUCGGUACAAAGGGUUGCCAAGCCGCGAGGUGGAGCUAAUCCCAUAAAACCGAUCGUAGUCCGGAUCGCAGUCUGCAACUCGACUGCGUGAAGUCGGAAUCGCUAGUAAUCGUGAAUCAGAAUGUCACGGUGAAUACGUUCCCGGGCCUU